rnacentral:tRNA from 1 species
GCCUGGGUGGCUCAGUCGGUUAAGCGUCUGACUUCAGCUCAGGUCACGAUCUCGCGGUCCGUGAGUUCGAGCCCCGCUUCGGGCU